rnacentral:rRNA from 1 species
GACGAACGCUGGCGGCGUGCUUAACACAUGCAAGUCGAGCGGUAAGGCCCUUUCGGGGUACGACGAGCGGCGAACGGGUGAGUAACACGUGGGUGACCUGCCCUCAGCUCUGGGAUAAGCCUGGGAAACUGGGUCUAAUACUGGAUAUGACUCCAUGACGCAUGUUGUGGGGUGGAAAGCCUUGUGCGGCUGAGGAUGGGCCCUCGGCCUAUCAGCUUGUUGGUGGGGUGAUGGCCUACCAAGGCGACGACGGGUAGCCGGCCUGAGAGGGCGACCGGCCACACUGGGACUGAGACACGGCCCAGACUCCUACGGGAGGCAGCAGUGGGGAAUCUUGCGCAAUGGGCGAAAGCCUGACGCAGCGACGCCGCGUGAGGGAUGAC